UUGGUUUAAGAGAAAAAUACUUGGUUAGUUAUGUUACUAAUGCUUAUCAUCUCAGUUUAGGCAUGUUCUUUUUAAUGAUUACUAGAUUUUGACCCGCGCUUUCAAAGCGCGGGAUAACAUUUUGGUUAAUUUUUUCAGUUUAAAAGUUACUAUCAUUUUUGGUUUAAAUUUUAAUAUUUGAGUUUUAACAUCUAUAAUUGAGAGUAAUUAUUUUGACGGCUCACAAUAUUGGGCAUUCGUGUUUUCGAUUUGUGUUAUUCGGUUUUUGGGUUAUUCGGGUUAGGAUGUUUAAGACCCGUUAAAAACCAGACAUUUUUGGAUCAAAUCGGUUCAGGUAAUGUCGGAUUUAGGUCAUGUUUUUAUUUUCUUAUAAAACUCGUAAUGAAAGCAAAUUAAAAAUAGAUUGGCUUAAUUCAGGGUUAAAGGAAAAAAUCCCAAAAACGCUUAAAAACCAGAGUUAAACCCGGAAAACCACCAAAAUUCAAGUAAUUAGAGUAAUGAGGUGAUUUGAAUAUUUUAUAUUUAUAAAUUAUAAUUAUAUAUAUAAAUUAAAAAUAAUUAGUAUUUUAUUAUAUUUCAAAUAUUCAGGUACCCGUUCGGUUUUUUGUUUGGUUUUAGUUUUUAGGUUUUAGAGAACUAAAAGUUGUUUUUUUUUAUAAUUUCACUUUUUAUUUUUAUUCGGUUCAAUUAUAGUUUUUGGUAGUGUUUUGAAACCCGAUCCGGACACACGAUUAAAUUGGUAAACCUAGUUACCUAAGAUAAAUCCGGUUUGGGUUUUGUGAAAAAAACCAAUAUUUAAAAACCCAAUAAAACCUGAAAAAAAUCACUAAAACCCAGAAAUCGGUUACUGGUUAAAUCACUGGUUGAACCAAUAAAUAAAUUUUACAUUUUUAGCUUUUAAUUAAUGUUUUUUAAUCGGUUUUGUAUUCUAAAUUUUAAUUAAGAAGUUAGUUUUACAUGUUCAAAGUUCUCGCUUAUCAUAAAUCUCGCUUACUAUGUUUUACAUGUUCUAAGCUCUACUAUGUUUUCCAUGAUUUAUCGUGAAUCGCAUGAGUUUAUUUUAUAUUUUUUUACAUGUUUCUAACUAAAUAUUUUGUCUUGAAAGUCACUGAAUUUAUUCUAUAUGUUUAUGCAAAACCAUAUGAUUUGAAUCAUGUUCAGCAGUGACUUUUUCACAUUAGACAUUUAAAUAUUUAUGAAUUUUAAGUCCUGAUAUAUCUUUGUUAGAUGUCAUAACAUUCAAGUUCUUAACUUGUUACAAAAAAAAUUAAAAUAGUCUAAACUAUUUUUUUGAUAUUUUGUAUGUCAAAUGAAAAUAAAAAUAUAGUGUUUUCUAAAUGUCUUCUAAAACAUAAAAUAUACAUAUCCAAACUAUUAUUUUAUGUUUUAAACAACAUUUAGGAAAUACUUAACUUUAGUUUCUAUAUUUUUAUUUUCAUAGCUAAUAUAUUAUUAUCUAAUAAAAUUAAUUAAUAUAUUAAUCUGCGAUGCACCCGCGGUUGAUCCAGUGAUCCAGUAAGCCAGAUUGUCCGGUUUGGUGUUUUGGCCAGAUUUCAAAAUACUGGUUUUUAAGUUUCAGAUAAUAUGUCAAAGACUAACGUUUCAUUAGUUUUUUUAUCGGUGUUUUAAUACCUAUCUUAUUAAAAUAUGAUCCUUCUUAUUAUUAUCCUUAGAAUAUCGUACAAUAUUAUUUUUUGUAUUAUUGUGUUUCUAAAAGAUUUUUUUCCUUCAUUAAAUAUAUUUUUAUCAUUUGUAAAUUGAUUUAAUAAAAUUAUUUAUGUCAUAAAUAUCAAAUUUCACUUGUUAUAUUUUUAUCAUUUAUGUUUGACAAAAGAAAAAUGUCUAAUAUCAUGGAGUAGAUUACAUGAAUAUUAUGUUUUAAUUUGAAUAAAUACUAUUAAUUAUGUUUUAAUUUAAAGCAAAUCGUGUUUGUUACUAACUAUAUCCAUUAUAGAUUUUUUAGUAUAAUAAACUAUACUAAUUAUGUUUUAAUAUAAAUGUAAUGGCAUGGCUCUGUAAAUACUUACAAAAUAUAAGGGUACCUAAAAAAAGAGCUUCUAUUUUAAUAGUAUAGAUCUUAUAUAUUUUAUGUAUAAUAUAAUGAUGAUCUUUAUAUAUAUAUAUAUAUAUAUAUAUAUAUAUAUAUAUAUAUAUAUAUUCGGUUUUAGAUUUGUAAAAUCAUUUAGUCAUUGAUGAAAAUAUGGAGAUAUGUUUUCAAAUUGGUUAGAUUUUGUGAUAUUUAGAAAAUCUCUCAAAAACUGGGUGGUAAGUAAGUUUGGAUGAUGAAUCUACAACGUUUAACAUAUUCGGGUAUUAAAUGAUUCUGCACAUUACUACUCCAGCACAUAAUCAAGGUACAUUGCAAAAAACUGAAAUCAAGUUUUUCUCGGCCAAAAGAUACAUUGCAACAGAACCGUUUCUCAACCCUCUGCUUCAGAGACAAAUCAGUAAAAGGAACUGAAUAAGAUAUGUCCAGAAUAAACGCUAAGAUAUGAUCACUGAUUUUAAUUUACAGUAAAACCACCUGAUGAUGAUAAUUUAUAAAGUCCAUCUUUUUGAGGCUCAUAUGUAGGUCAGUAGGUAAGGUAAACUAUUUGGUCUCCAUGGUUUUAUCAUCAUUUGAUGGUGGUGAGAACUUUCCGGAAGGUGUUGUGCCUGUUGAUUCAAAACCGACUCUGAUCCCAUUCAGAAGAAAUCUAUGGUGAGCUGAAACAUGAAGGUUCACAGUGUGGAUUGUGACAUCACAUUCCCAAAUAGUAAUGCUCUAUCUUGCAAACAGAGGAAGAAUCCAGAAGCUUCAUGUCAUAUUCCUAUAUGAAACAGAGAAUAGCUUUGUCAAAAAAAGGGAAAAAAAACAGAGCAUAGCUAAGAUAACAACAAACAAACACGAUAAAUAACUAAGAUAUUGGUUAAUGGCCCCUCUAAACCUAAAAAGGUUCAACUAUUUAAUGAGAAAAAACUUUAAAAAUCGUUCAAUCAUGGAUACACUACAGAGAUCAAAGAGAGAUGAGCCCACAAAACGCAGCAGCUCGGCGCAACAUAGCACUGCUGCUUCCGCCGCCCAUAAAUGCUUCACUGAAUCGUGAUACAGCUCCGAGUUUGAAGAAAGAGAUGUCGUGGUAUGAUUUCUGAUUAUCUGGUUCUGACUUCACGAAAGAUCUUACGUUUGAAUGGAGAUAUGAGCCGAGAUGAGAGAAGGCGUCGUCGUCGUCGAAACUGAAAAAUAAAAAUGAAGGCUGAAUAAGAAACUACAAAAUAAUGAGAUGGUUAAUUAAAAGGAUUUUCGAUAAAUAUAGUAUAUUUAAUAAAAAGCAUAUGUUUAAAAUAAUUCAGUGGCAGAGAUCUGUAAAUAUUGUUAAAGAAGAAGGGCACCUCAAAAAAGGACCUUCUGUUUUAAUAGUAUUGAUGUCUAGAUUCAACAUAUGCAUCCGUAUAUACGCAAAAUAGUUCUGAUUGGAAAACUCAAGAAUGAAAGAAACUAUGACGUAAUUAAUUAUUUCCCAAGUAUGUGGUUUUGACCAAUUUUCUUAUUUAUUUAGAAGACAAUAAAAAAAUUUCCAUGCGGUAUUGUUUUGACCUAAUAAAAUAUUUAUUGGCUACAUUGGUGGCACGUAGUAUUAAGUUUGAGUUGCAGUAUAUAUUGUAAAUCGAUGUAACUUGUAAUAAAAAUUAUAUGAUAAAAAUUGUAAAUAUAUGUAAUAAUUUUGCAGUAAAAAUAAAAGUUAUCAUUUUACUAAAAUUAGUGACUGAUAACAGUUUUGAUAUAUAAGUUGCGUAUAUUUUUUCAGUAAAAUUAUUAAAAAAAAUAAACAUAUACAUAAUGAAUAUUUAUCCAAAACCAAGAAAAUAUUAAAUUAUUAUAAAAAUAAUUAGAUAGAGUUGUAUAAUAUUGUUAAAUUAAAAAUUUCAAAUAAAAACAAAUAAACAUAAGAUAUUACUAAGUUUGUGAUAGUUCAACAAAAAAAAGGUUUUUGAGUUUAACAACUAUAAAAUUUUUGCAAAUUUACAAACAAAGAUAACUGAGGUAACUUCAUCUUUGAAACUAGUAUUUGAACUUUUUUUUUCGUUUUAGUCUCUUAUAAAUAUUGCUAAAUUUGUGGGUUUAAAACUUUAAUAAAUUACAAUUUACAAUUAGAAAAUCUACUCACGUAGCUCAAUUUCUUAUAGUAUUUGAAUUCCUUUUACAUAAUUUAAGGUGUGAUUCUUAUGAGGCGUUUGUAUAAGAAAAAGAACGAAAACUACUAUUUUAUAAUGUUUUAGACAGCAUACAAGAAAGUUCACAAUGUAACAUAUAUUUUUCUUUAACUUAUAAACGUCCAAACGUAGCUCAAUUUCUUGAAGUAUUUUUCUUUAACAUAUAUCACGAAACCUCAGUGUUUCCUUUUAAACAGGAAAAAUAAUUAAAACUCUAACUCAACUUUUAAAACAUGGGUUUUCUUUGAUGUUGCAUUAAGUUUUGAGUUAUCAAAUGAAGAAUAUAUACAAGUCUUAAGUCGACAUCCGGUUAAAUCAAUGUAAGCAUAAUCAGUUUGUGAUUAUGCUGGUUUGAGUUCAGUAAACCGUCUCUCUCUUGGAUGUGAUGUGUGUCGUACACUGUAGGGUGAUCUAGAUGGGUGAGUGUUAAUAUUAAAGAUCGAACUGUUCAGAUCAAUUCAAUUGUUGAUCUGAUAACCAGCGAAAGAGAGGGAGAGAUAAAGAGAGACGGUUGAGAUAGGUGACUCAAGUUUCAGAGUCAUCGGAGCUAGUAGAUUGCUGAUCAGAUUAUCCCCGGUGAGUAUAGCAGCUUUUCUUAUCUUUGGGGAAGUGUGGUGAAGACCGGAUAAACAAAUAUUUUGCACUUUUUUGCUUUCAAUCUUUACUUAGUUUUCUUUGUGAUCAGUUGUACAUAAACGAGAACGAAAUCAAGAGAGAGAGAUCCAGAAAAGGUACAGGGAAGAUAGUAAAUCUUCACAAAUUGGUAUCAAAGCCAGGUUAUCUGAGACCUGAGCCGAAGAAGGAAUAGAUCGGUUUCGAGAUGUUGACACACAAGAUUAAAGUUGCAAUGACGAUGUUCGAUAGCACCAGAGAAUUCAGGAUCUGGAAGAAGAGGAUCCUGGUGAAUCUAAACAUUCAAGGUAUUAAGGACGUUCAAUUUCCACAAUCACAAGCUUUGGUGAUUUUGAAGACUAGAGAUGAAGAUGAAGACACGAAGAAGAAACGAGAUCUUGAAGAAGUUACAAGACUUGAAAUAGAUGAGAAGGUGAUGAAUCUGAAGAAGGAAUCGAUCGGUUUCGAGAUGUCGCCACACAAGAUUAAAGUUGCAAUGACGAUGUUCGAUAGCACCAGAGACUUCGAGAUCUGGAAGAAGAGGAUCCUGGUGAAUCUAAAAGUUCAAGGUAUUAAGGACGUUUAAUUUCCACAAUCACAAGCUUUGGUGUUUUUGAAGACUGGAGAUGGAGAUGAAGAUGAAGAUGAAGACACGAAGAAGAAAUGAGAUCUUGAAGAAGUUGCAAGACUUGAAAUAGAUGAGAAGGCGAUGAAUCUGAUCUUCAUGAGUGUAGGCGAUCAUGUUCCAAGGAAACUCGAUAAUUAUAAGACAACAUCGGAAGUAUGGGAACUUCUCGAUCGUCUGUACAUGGCGAAUACAUUACCUAACCGAGUCCAUGCUCAACUCAAGGUCUACUCAUUCCAGAUGCAAAAUUCAAGAACUAUCGAUCAAAUCGUCAAUGAUUUUCUCAAGCUGAUUACGGAUCUCAACAAUCUGAGUAUCGAGAUACCAGAGGAGGUUCAGGCCAUUCUAAUACUCAAUGCGUUGCCAUGCAGGUAUGACUCUAAAAGAAACUCGAAAAUACAGUAGAGAAGCUACUAGAGUAGAUGAGAUUGCUAGUACUUCUAGGUCUAAAUAAAUGGAGUAUAAUGACUCAUCUACUGCUAGGUUGAAUGGAGAAGAAAACUUUGUUAAAGGUAGGUUCGGAUAAUAGAAAUAGAAAUAUAUUUUAUAAAAUGUAUUUUCUAUUGUAUUAUCAUUUAGUUUUAAUAUUUGAACUUUAAUAUUUCUAAUUGUUAAUAUUUAAAUAUACCUAUAAUUUAGGAAACUACUUAUAUCUAACUAUAAUUUAAGAAACUAUAGAUGCUACAAAGUGAUUUUGUGGCUAAAAUUGAUUAAUAAAGCAUUAUAUCUACCUCACGUCUAACAAUUCUAUCUAUUCGACACAUUGACUAUGAUUACUUAUUAUCAUUCAAAUUCACAUAAAACUGUAUGAAUCUCAUCAUUCUCAUUCGUGGACAAUAUUAUUAUAAUUAUUAUUUGAAUCUCUUCAUCCUCAUAUCUUCUGCCACUCCUAUAUCAAUGGUAACCCACUAUAUUUUCUAACUGAAAUAAAUUAAUACGGUAAGUUCUUUAACAAAAAUAUAGUUUAUACUUAAUAAAAAUUGCAAUUAAAACGUGAAAUCUAUUUUAUUAUAUAUAUAUAAUACAAUAGAAAUAUAUUUUAUAAAGAUGUAAGAGUUAAAUAGUUGUAUAAAAAAUUAAGCAUGACACCGGUCAGAAUUUUUAUCAAAGCUUAAAAUUUCAAAUACUCCAAAAAAACUAAAAUAAAUCCAGCACAUAAAUUUGAAUGUAUGUACAAAAUAUAAAAA